CGCCGAGAUGGACCGGAUACUACAUGGCCCAGACAAGGUGGCUGAGGAGUGGGCCCAGGGCACCUUCAAACUCAACUCCAAUGAUGAGGACAUCCACACAGCCAAUGAGCGCCGCCUGAAGGUUCACUGAGAGAACAUAGACAGGCCCUCAACCCCGACAUACUGGCCACUGACUCCGCCUACUACUUGGUCUGCAAAGAGGAGUGUGUUUCAGCCAGGGG